rnacentral:rRNA from 1 species
UACGUAGGUGGCAAGCGUUGUCCGGAAUUACUGGGUGUAAAGGGAGCGCAGGCGGGAAGCCAAGUCAGCUGUGAAAACUACGGGCUUAACUUGUAGACUGCAGUUGAAACUGGCGUUCUUGAGUGGGCGAGAAGUAUGCGGAAUGCGUGGUGUAGCGGUGAAAUGCAUAGAUAUCACGCAGAACUCCGAUUGCGAAGGCAGCAUACCGGCGCCCUACUGACGCUGAGGCACGAAAGCGUGGGUAUCGAACAGG